rnacentral:rRNA from 1 species
ACUCAAAUGAAUUGACGGGGGCUUGCACAAGCGGUGGAGCGUGUGGCUUAAUUCGUCGCUAAGCGAAGAACCUUACCAGGGCUAGAAAUCCUACUGCACGCCUAGCGAAAGCUAGGAAGCCUUCGAGGGUGUAGGACAGGUGAUGCAUGGCUGUCGUCAGUUCGUGGUUUGAAUCGUUCCCUUCAGUGGGGUAACGAACGCAACCCUCGUUGCCUGUUACAAGUGUCAGGCGAGACUGCCCCCUCACGGGGGAGGAAGGUGAGGAUGACGCCAAGUCAGCAUGUCCCUCUGAUGUCCUGGGCUGCACACGCGCUACAAUGGCAUUUACAAAGGGGCGCAAUACGGCAACGUGGAGCAAAUCCCUAAAAGAUGCCUCAGUUCGGAUUGGGGUCUGCAACCCGACCCCAUGAAGCUGGAAUCGCUAGUAAUCGCGGGUCAGCCACACCGCGGUGAAUACGUUCUCAAGCCUUGUACACACCGCCCGU